rnacentral:rRNA from 1 species
UACAGAGGUGGCAAGCGUUGUUCGGAAUUACUGGGCGUAAAGGGCGCGUAGGCGGUCUUGUCAGUCCCUUGUGAAAUCCCCCGGCUCAACUGGGGAACUGCACGGGAAACAGCAGGGCUUGAGUUCGGGAGAGGGAAGCGGAAUUCCGGGUGUAGCGGUGAAAUGCGUAGAUAUCCGGAGGAACACCGGUGGCGAAGGCAGGCGUUGCCUGGACCGGCUACU